rnacentral:rRNA from 1 species
UACGUAGGGUCCGAGCGUUGUCCGGAAUUAUUGGGCGUAAAGAGCUCGUAGGCGGUUUGUCGCGUCUGCUGUGAAAUCCCGAGGUUCAACCUCGGGUCUGCAGUGGGUACGGGCAGACUGGAGUGCGGUAGGGGAGAAUGGAAUUCCUGGUGUAGCGGUGGAAUGCGCAGAUAUCAGGAGGAACACCGAUGGCGAAGGCAGUUCUCUGGGCCGUAACUGACGCUGAGGAGCGAAAGCGUGGGGAGCGAACAGG